rnacentral:rRNA from 1 species
UUGUGGUUAAAAAGCUCGUAGUUGGAUCUCGGCGGACUGAGGGCGGUUUGCUUGCUAGUAUUACUGCCCUAUAGUCCGUAGUUUUGCCAGAGGUUUCGGGGUGCUCUUAAUCGAGUGUCCCGGGAUGCUGGCAGGUUUACUUUGAAAAAAUUAGAGUGCUCAAAGCAGGCUAUUACGCCUGAAUAUUCGUGCAUGGAAUAAUAGAAUAGGAAGUCGUUUCUAUUUUGUUGGUUUUCGGAAAUCGACUUAAUGAUUAAUAGGGACAGUCGGGGGCAUUUGUAUUCAAACGACAGAGGUGAAAUUCUUGGACCGUUUGAAGACAAACUACUGCGAAAGCAUUUGCCAAGAAUGUUUUCAUUAAUCAAGAACGAAAGUUAAAGGUUCGAAGGCGAUUAGAUACCGCCCUAGUUUUAACCAUAAACGAUGCCAGCUAGCGAUCUGCGGACGUUUUUUUUGUAGACUCCGAAGGAAGCUUCCGGGAAACCAAAGCAUUUGGGUUCCAGGGGAAGUAUGGUUGCAAAGCUGAAACUUAAAGGAAUUGACGGAAGGGCACCACCAGGAGUGGAGCCUGUGGCUUAAUUUGACUCAACACGGGAAAUCUCACCAGGCCCGGACACUGGAAGGAUUGACAGAUUGAUAGCUCUUUCUUGAUUCGGUGGGUGGUGGUGCAUGGCCCGU